rnacentral:rRNA from 1 species
AAUGGGCAACGGUAGGUCAGUAUGCCCCGAAUAUCCCGGGCUACACGCGAGCUACAAUGGUUGGUACAAUGGGUAUCUACCCCGAAAGGGACGGGAAUCUCCUAAACCAAUCUUAGUUCGGAUUGAGGGCUGCAACUCGCCCUCAUGAAGCUGGAAUCCGUAGUAAUCGCGUUUCAACAGAACGCGGUGAAUACGUCCCUGCUCCUU